rnacentral:rRNA from 1 species
AUGGGGAUCAUGGCCCUUACAUCAAAUAUUGUGAACACUUCAUCUCCAAUAGUGUCCAUAAGAAAGGGGGGUUGGUACUGCCCUCCUAGGGGCUUUGUGAAACUAAAUGUUGACGCAUAUUUUGAUCAUGACAUGCUGACGGGGACGAUGGGUGCAGUCUUGAGAGACGACAAAGAACGGAGGACAAUCAGCGGGUGCGGCGGCAGCAAUCUUUGUUGA